rnacentral:rRNA from 1 species
AUUGAACGCUGGCGGCAUGCCUUACACAUGCAAGUCGAACGGCAGCAUAGGAGCUUGCUCCUGAUGGCGAGUGGCGAACGGGUGAGUAAUAUAUCGGAACGUGCCCUAGAGUGGGGGAUAACUAGUCGAAAGACUAGCUAAUACCGCAUACGAUCUACGGAUGAAAGUGGGGGAUCGCUAGACCUCAUGCUCCUGGAGCGGCCGAUAUCUGAUUAGCUAGUUGGUGGGGUAAAAGCUCACCAAGGCGACGAUCAGUAGCUGGUCUGAGAGGACGACCAGCCACACUGGGACUGAGACACGGCCCAGACUCCUACGGGAGGCAGCAGUGGGGAAUGUUGGACAAUGGGGGCAACCCUGAUACAGCAAUGCCGCGUGAGUGAAGAAGGCCUUCGGGUUGUAAAGCUCUUUUGUCAGGGAAGAAACGGUUCUGGAUAAUACCUGGGACUAAUGACGGUACCUGAAGAAUAAGCACCGGCUAACUACGUGCCAGCCGCCGCAGUAA